UGCAGCACUCGUUUUGUGGAGCAGGAAGUUUAAGGACAAUGGCACCCAAAACAUCAGCGCAUACCUUCAACUUAAGGGCAUCCGGAGGACAAUUUCCAGGCACUGUCCUUGUGGCUGAGGUAAGGACAACGAAUAACAGGAGGUUGAGGGAGAGCAAAAUGGCUGCUGAUGACUUUGAAGCCAUUUCUCAAAGAAUUCAAUUUAUGAAUAUUAAAGACUUUGUGAAUGCGAGUCUGAGUGAUGAAAAUUGUGAAGUGGUAUGGGGGUAUUUAUAGCUGAAGUCGGAUCUUUCUGGCUUUUAAAUUCUACUGCAUAAAAAUGGAGUGCGGAUUAAAUUGAUUAGUUUCUGUACUGGCCAUUAGCUGUUAAUACGAUUUAAACAUCAGUUAUUUGUGCCAGACAGAAUAUAUAUAUUUUAAUAAUCACAGCAAAGUCAAAGUGUGAUUGCCUAAUCAGAUAAUUGUAUGAACGCGCGCACAAAACGAGUUUAUUUAAACAUUGAAGGGAAAUUGACAAAAUUCUCCUCUUACUUUUAUAACUCACUAGAGCCCUGUCAAGUUACGAUGUCAAACAGUUUAUGACUGUUAUAAUAUGAAUUUACUGCUCUUCUUUUGAAUAUUUCAUAAGAUACUUAUAAAAAAAAUCUAAUGUGCGUGCUGCAAUCAAAAGCUCUAACUCAAUGCAUGUUGGAAUCUACCUCGAUGUAUUAAAGUUAAAGUUCAACUAACUUGAAAAUCUACACCAAUACAAAAUCAUGAGAAAAUAUUCUCCUAUAUAAGGAGGUGCAAGAAUUGUUCAAAGCUCAAACUAUGAGUGGGUUGCAGGAGAAGGAAAAAAGAUUGAAUUUUAACACUAAUUUUGAAGUAAAAAUAAAAUUAACUAUUAAUAGAAUACUUUAGUAUAGUAAUGUUUCCGUUUACAAUGAUAAGGAUUUAAAGUUAAAAAGUAGCAUUAAUGUUUUCAUGCAUCUUAUUCGAUCGAAUAAAUCCAAUGAAUGAAAAAUUAAGUCACUUUUUCAAGUCAAAAUUUUAAGUUGAGUGAACCCUCCUAAUUUUAGUAUUAGCUGGUGGAAGAACAAUACGGCAUAAAUUCGUUACACAAAAAUGGAUUGCAUAUUAACUAAAUUUAUAGUGCUGAAUUAACGGAAUAUUUUAAUUAUAUUAGCUAUGAAAUACAUUUAACCUUUUCAGCUGAAGUAAUUGUCAUUUGGAAAAAAGAUCUAAAAAAUCAUAAAGAUAAUAUGAAGUAGAAUUUAAAGUUUGAUUGUUGAUACUUAUAAAGUCAUCGGAAUGCGUCCUUUAGCUGAAGUAAUUGUCAUUUGGAGGAUAAGAUUUAAAAAAUCAUAGCGAUAGUAUGAACUGGAAUUUAAAAUUAGAUUUUUGAUACUAAUAAAGUCAUCGUAAUGUGUCCUUUGCGAGCAGCAUGGCAAUAAAAAACACAUUAAAGGCGACUUUUAGACUAAAAUUUAAUAAAGACAAAAUUAACACAGUAAUGUUGACACUCUAGAAUCCCCGUCAUGAACCUUCUGUUCAGUAUUUUGUUUUCUUUACGGAGUAUUCGCGUUAUUCAUCUAGAGUGUUAUUAAUUAUCCUAAAAAAUUAUUCAGAAACAAGGCCUUCAUUCAUCAAAUAAGUAUAAUGUGGCGUUCUUGUUUUUUUGACGAUGAAAUUAUGAAUUAAAGAAUAUGAGUUUACUUUUUAACCCGUACAAAAACGAAAUGUUCCAUUAUUGCCUUAAUUAAUUUCCAUAGAUCAUUGCGUUCACGUCGGUGUAGUUGCUGUUGAAGAAUAUUUAUCUGCAUAAAUCUGAUACGCACAAAAAUUGGGUUAAAUCAAUUUUUAUUUUUUAUUUUAAAAAAUAGAAGAGUAGGUAAAGUCUAAAAUAACUUGUUAAACCCUACAUAUUUCUAGUAUUUAAAACUAAAUAAAAUUACUUAAAAAUUGCUUAAUCAGGGUGGCCAAAUCAAUUUUGAUGAUCAUGAAAAAACAUGAUAAUAUAUAAACCAAAAUAAAAUUCGAAUUCCAUAUAUAUUUAAUUUGACAAAAUUAAAUUUGCCGACAAUCUAAAAUAGUUGAGCACUAUAUAUGAGCAAUUAGGGAAAAUCAAGUCAACGUGCAUGUCAAAAACAAAAUAAGAUGGAUCUGAGUCCCCAUCUCAGUGUUACUGCAGCAACACGAGAUCAAGUUUCUACGAUAAACAAAACUUUUCAAAAAUUCCGCAAGUCCACAACGCAGCAAGCAAAGAUUUUAUUUGAUUGCCGCGGUGGAGAAAGAGCGGCUUUUUGGGGUUCCCACGUUGGCAGAGAUCUUCCUAGGAUACGCAUUUUGACUUGGUAUUAACCAUUUCUUCCUUGCUUAUAAUAAUACUUUUAAAAUCAAUUUUAUUUUUGUUUUCAAAUAUAAUAUAAUUUAUUAAACUUAUAAGUAAUUAAGGGUCCUCCGUGAUUUUUGACUUGUCACAGUUAUAGCAUAGUUUACGAAUAUGCGCCGAGUAAAAAUGAUAUUUAUCUCACACAACUAUAAACAAAAUCAGUAAUUUGAGUCCACCGAAACUCGAAUCAAACUACAGAAAUAAUGGAGUUUGUUUCCGCUAGACUCCUCGUCCUCAAGAAGAACAAGCUACAAGAACUUUAAACAUCUUGCUAACAAUCUUAUGGUCGGAUCGGUUGGUGUACACCUUAACUCUAAAGUGAAAAAUUGGAAUCUCUUUGGUAAACGUGAGAGUAAUUUUUUUUUUUGUUGGGAUUUAAAGGACUUUAGUUGUAUACUUUAGGUUUGAGAUUGAAGCUAGCAUGACUUUUUUUAAUUUUAAAAACUAACAAAUUAAUGUAGUGGGUUCUCGUAUGAUAAUAAAUUAUUGCUCGUUAUUCUCUCUCUUAUUUAAUAUAUUCCAUUUUUUGUCACUUUUUAAUUAUUAUGCUUAUUUUUAUUUAAUUAUUUUCUUUUUUUUGUACUGUCGCAGCUGCGUCAAAUUCCUAAAUUUCACUGGUACUUGUAGUUUAAUUUUUAUUUUUAUUUUUCAAAGCAUGUAUCGCAGUAAAAUUGUUUCCUAGUAUGUUAAUUUUUAUGUGCAGAGGCUGUUGCGGAUGCGAACCUAGCAAUUGAGUUGGAGCCUUCAAUGUCUAAUAUAGUACAUAAUAUUACAACAAGGGUCUCGGGAGUUUGUCCAACAAGCAACAAAGCUCAAAAAUCUAUUUCUAUUAAGGGGAGAAAUAAGUUAACUGGGAAUCAAAUUAAACUCUUGCCCUCCAAGAUGGAGGUAAGAGUGUUUUACCGCGAGUCUGUGGUCUUGGAGGAGAAAAAAUUUGCUCCUUAAGUUCGAUAAAUUUUUAAAAUAAUUUUAAUAUCAUUUUGAUAAUAUAUAUCCUAAUAUUUCAUUUCCAUUCCAUUCCACGUACUAAUUAGGUAUUGAUAUAUGGCUUGAACCUUGAAGCUGGCAGCAACCAGAACAGAACAAAGAAGAACUACGAACAGAGAAGAAACAAGUUUACACCAACUUGUUCUCUUAUUCAAACAACACACAGUAAGUAGAGGCCAAUAUAAAACAGCUUAUUGACAGAUCCAAACCGUAUUUAAAAAGCAGCUGAAGAUAGGAAGCGUACAGCACCAUUUUAUGCCUCAGCAGCAAUAUCAACCAACUGAAAAUUCCAGACCUAGCAACCUCCAAUUUUGUGGAGUAAUUUUCAUUAAUUUCGCUUUUGUUAAAACUUCAACGGCACAAGAAAAUUAAUUUAUUAAGUGAUGGAAACAGAAAUGACGCUCGUAUGUAUAAGAAGAGCUACUCAAUAAGUCAAUGAGCCUUACAGUCGUAAUAACCAGUACAGUCCAAGAAAUAUAACAAAAUCAACAAUGUUAUAUUUCUUAAAUUUAAGAAAUUGUUUAUUUUUGUUGUUUUGUUCUUUUACCGUUCUAUUGAUUCGGUUGGGAAUUAUCUCCUGGCCCCGGUCCCGUUGCUUAUUACGUAUAAUUCCCUACAUGCACAAUUAAUCAAAGCUUGCAUGUCGAGAAUUAUAGAUAACUAAACAAUAUCUCACAAAGAACAACGCUAUUAUAAAAUUUCCAUUCAUUAAUUUAGUUGAAACAAAACAGAAUUCUAUUACAUCUUCGAUUCCAAUGGGAAAGACCAAAUUAAGACGUACAUCAAGAAAAAUGUGAGGAGCUUCCUCCCAUUAUUAUUUUCUUCAAACAGUAAUUAAUAAUAAAUCUCCAAGAGCGAAGAAUUCAGCCUUCCUUGCACUCCACGAACAAACAAUUGCAAAUGCUCAGACAAUUAUUACAAGAAUGCGUUGCAAAACCAAACACGUGUACCAUGGAUGGGACAAAGUAGAGUCACCGAUGGAUGAGCUUAAUUAAUUAUAUAUUAAGCGCACUUGAAUUCAUUAGCACUGGGGACGUCGCAGUGAUUCAAUAGCAAUGACAAGUUGAUAGGAACGUUUAGUUUGAUGAGAUUCAAGACAUUAACAUGAAGGGAAGUGCAAAGGCAUGCGGCAGCGUUGAGUUUGACCAAAUUGCCAAUGAGACUGCAGCACUCGUUUUGGGGAGCAGGAAGUUUAAGGACAAUGGCACCCAAUACAUCAGCACAUACCUUCAACUUAAGGGCAUCCGGAGGACAAUUUCCAGGCACAGUCCUUGUGGCUGAGGUAAGGACAACGAAUAACAGGAGGUUGAGGGAGAGCAAAAUGGCUGCUGAUGACUUUGAAGCCAUUUCUCAAAGAAUUCAAUUUAUGAAUAUUAAAGACUUUGUGAAUGCGAGUGUGAGUGAUG
rnacentral:lncRNA from 1 species